CUUGGUUAUAACAGCAGAGGAGGUGGGUAAAAGUUUUAAGAAGAUCAAUCCACAUAAGGCAGCUGGAGCGGACGGGAUCAGAGACUUUUCAUCUGCAUUCAAUACUAUCAGACCCCAUAUUAUGAUGGAGAGACUACUGCAGUUAGGUGUAAAUGGCCACAUCGUCAGAGGGAUGUUGACUGCCACAUCGAUGUCUUCUCUUUUUGUGGCCUCCUCUUCAGCCUUAUAUGACAUUUUGUUUCCUUUAAUGCCAAUAUGUGCUGGCAACCACAAAAAUAUGACUGCAAUGCCCAUCAUUUGGAUUCUAUAUAAUGUUUGCAGUAUUUAUAUCAAAAUGUCUGCUCUGCUGUCUGAGUGACUGUUCUGGUCUUAUUUCCUCUAUCCAUUGCACUGCUAAUAGAAUUGCUAGCAUUUCUGUUACGUCCCACCCUUUGGUGGCAACAUGGGACGAACAACACCCCAACACUGACCCAAACUCAACACAAAUAAACACCUUUA